ACUUUUCACUCUCCAACAUUGAACCAAAGGCCAUAAUAAAGUACCAGUCAAAUAGAAAAUCAUACACAAAAGAUACAAUAUCUUUUAGCUCGCCUAAACUCCUAUUCCAUUUUCUUGAUACCUCCCAAAUGGCCACCGUCACAUCGCAAGCCUCCGCCGCCGUCUUCCGGCCAUCCGCCGCCAAGACAAGGUUCCUCAGUGGAGCAUCUGGUAAACUAAAUAGGGAGGUGUUUUUUAAACCAUCAACUUCAUCUUACAACUCAUUUAAAGUUGAAGCUAAGAAAGGUGAAUGGCUUCCAGGCUUAACCUCUCCUACUUAUCUUGAUGGCAGACUCGCUGGUGACAAUGGUUUCGAUCCACUGGGGCUCGCUGAGGACCCAGAGAACUUGAAAUGGUUCGUUCAAGCCGAGCUAGUGAACGGUCUAUGGGCCAUGUUAGGUGUUGCUAGAAUGCUACUGCCUGAGGUUCUCACUAGUGCUGGACUCCUUAACGUACCAAAAUGGUAUGAUGCUGGAAAAUCUGAGUACUUUGCAUCUUCAUCAACUCUGUUCGUGAUCGAGUUCAUAUUGUUUCACUACGAUCGAAAUUCGACGUUGGCAAGACAUUAAGAAUCCAGGAAGUGUGAAUCAAGAUCCUAUUUUCAAGAGUUAUAGCUUGCCUCCUAAUGAAGUUGGUUACCCUGGUGGUAUUUUCAACCCACUCAACUUUGCUCCCACAUUAGAAGCUAAGGAGAAGGAAAUUGCUAAUGGGAGAUUGGCAAUGUUGGCAUUUUUGGGAUUUAUAGUGCAGCACAAUGUGACAGGAAAAGGACCAUUUGACAACUUGUUGCAGCAUCUUUCUGACCCAUGGCAUAAUACCAUUAUCCAAACAUUCGCUAAUUAGAGAACCAUAUUUACAUUAUUGGAGUGAAGAUAUUGUUACCUUGUAAUCAUUGAGUUAGUAAUUUUUUUAAUGGAAAGUAAAAACAGAGAGAUUUAUUUUUAAA